rnacentral:rRNA from 1 species
AUUGAACGCUGGCGGCAGGCCUAACACAUGCAAGUCGAACGAGUGGCGGACGGGUGAGUAAUGUCUGGGAAACUGCCCGAUGGAGGGGGAUAACUACUGGAAACGGUAGCUAAUACCGCAUACCAUCGGAUGUGCCCAGAUGGGAUUCGCUAGUAGGUGGGGUAACGGCUCACCUCGGCGCCGAUCCCUAGCUGGUCUGAGAGGAUUACCAGCCACAAUGGAACGGCGCCACGGGCCAGAGUCCUACGGGAGGCAGCAGUGGGGAAUAUUGCACAAGGGGCGGAAGCCUGAUGAGGCCAUGCCGCGUGUAUGAAGAAGGCCUUCGGGUUGUAAAGUACUUUAAGCGAGGAGGCGUUACUCGCAGAAGAAGCACCGGCUAACUCCGUGCCAGCAGCCGCGGUAAUAC